GCCCACCCCAGAUAAAGAUUUUCAGUAUUUAUUUGUUUGGGUUCUGCUUAUAUGUACCCCUCUUCAUCACCAAAGAUUUGAGGCUACUGAAAAUGAAAACUGAAAUGGCAAUAAAAGAGAGGGGGUUGCAGAGAGGACACAGGACGGGGAAAAUAGAAAUAAUCGCAGAAAAUUAUGACCUGAUGAAGAGCACAAUCACAGAAGCGGUGAGAGAUGGCAAAGUUGCCAGAGGGCUGCUUGCGUGUCCUUACAAUAUGGUGACUCUACCUUCCCUCAGAAAGAGUGAUCCAAGAGAAAUCAAGGACAUGCCCCUGCCUCCUGGGAGACAGGGAGUGCUAUGAUAACCGAAGGAGGGCACAGUGUCCCCUUGCAGGAGCCGCUUUUGAUCCUGCCAGGACAAUCAAUCCUUCAAGAGCAGCAAGGCCCUGUAGGUACAGGAAGAGAGUGACCCUCAGAUCCCUUCCCUUUGCCCUAAUCGGGGCCACAUAGUAUACCAGAGACCUCAGGGGUAGUGACCCCAGAUGUUCUCAGAGGACUUCUAACCUUUGAACUUGGGGAUGGACAUAGGGGUAUGGCUAGCACUGCAGCCUGGCCCACAUGGCUGAGCCACCACACCCAGCCUAAAAUGGUAUCUUUUCUCCUUCUCCUCCUUCGUCUUCAAUUUCUUCUUGAAACAGCAUCUCACUCUGUCAUCCAGGCUGGAAUGACAUGGGUGCUGGUCAGCACACCUAUGGGGCACUAACCCAGGCCCACAGAGGAGUCCUUUACUUCCAAGUCACCUGAGGAUCCAGUGGUGACCAGGGAGACUCUGACCUGAAACUGUGCUGGCUCUGGGGGACUGUUGGAUAAGCCAAUGUGGGCCAGGCAGGAGUUCAAACACACUUCCCUGGUGCCCACAGGGACUCCCAGCACACGCUCUCCUAUGGGUGUCAAUGAUUCAGUCUUUCUUGGUGGCAUAGGAUAUAGCCUGGAGAAGCUCUGGGGAAUAUUUCUUUUCUUACUUAUUUCUGGUUUUAAAAGUAAUACUCAGGAUGACUAUUGUUAAAAACAAAAUAAAAAGAAACCAGAAAAUAACAGAAAACAACAAGCGUUGGAGAGGCUGUGAAGAAACUGGAAGCCUGGGCGUCACCAGUGGGAAGGUGAAAUGCUGCCGUUACUAUAAACAACAGUUUGGUGUUUCCUCCAAAACGUAAAUAUAGAAUUACCAUGUGACCUGGCAAUUCCACUUCUGGAUAUAUGCUCAGAAAAACUGAAAGCAAGGACUGGAACAGAUAUGUGUACACCCACGUUCAUAGCAGCAGUUUUCACAAUUGCUUAAUGGAUAGAGUUUUCUGUUUGGGAUGAUGAAAAAAUUUUCAGAAAUAGUGGUGGUGGUGUUUGCACAACAUUGUAAAUGUGAUUAAUGCCCCACCUAUAAAUAGU